rnacentral:sRNA from 1 species
GCCAGGCACAGUGGUGCAUGUCUGUAAUCCCAGUUGCUCAGGAGGCUGAGGCAGGAGGAUCAUGAGUUCAAACCCAGCCUCAG